rnacentral:rRNA from 1 species
UACGUAGGGGGCUAGCGUUGUCCGGAAUCAUUGGGCGUAAAGCGCGCGUAGGCGGCCCGGUAAGUCCGCUGUAAAAGUCCAGGGCUCAACCCUGGAAAGCCGGUGGAUACUGUCGGGCUCGAGUCCGGGAGAGGGAUGUGGAAUUCCAGGUGUAGCGGUGAAAUGCGUAGAUAUCUGGAGGAACACCGGUGGCGAAGGCGGCAUCCUGGACCGGUAUUGACGCUGAGGCGCGAAAGCUAGGGGAGCAAACGGG